rnacentral:tRNA from 1 species
CCCUUGGUGGUUCAGUGGUUAAGACGCAGCGCUUUCACUGCUGGGGGCAUGGGUUUGAACCCUGCUCAGGGA